AGAAAUCUUUUAUUUGAUGACUGAGUGACUUCUGCCUGCUAGGUACUUUGUUCACUAUAUUUAUGCUGUAUCUCGGUCUCGAAUGUUAUAAUAACAGCAAGAGGGAAUAGGUACUAUUAUUAUUCUCACUUCAAAACUGAGGAAACUAAAGACUAGAGAUGUAAACUAACUUGCUUAUUUGUCCUGUAAAUAGGUAGAUGGGAUUUAAACCCUGAUCUUUCUGCUUUUAGAAUCGAAUUGCAUGGCUACACUGUAUUUCUAUCAUGGCAGAGGUCCCUGGUACAGGAAUACGAUUUGAUAAACACUUGUUGAAUGAAAAAGCCAGUAUGCAGAGGUUUAUGAAAAAGAAGUAGUUGCUUACUUAAUAAUUUUUAAAUGCUUUCCCCAAAUGCACCUAAGAUUAGAAAACAAAGACAAGAAUGAAAGGCUUUGAGACGUGUAAAACAUCUUUGACAAUCAUUCUGUAAUGUCUGCAUCAAGUUCCAGCCCUGCCACAUCAUAAAGCCUUCCAGAUUCCAGUCUCACAAGAACAUGAUCCUAGAAGAUUCUGGUGUUCAUGGCUUCCACCCACAGUGCAGGGUUCAGUUGGUGUUCAGAAGCCUUUCUCCAUCAUCACCAUUAACGGAUGUGAUCCACAGAGGAACUGGUGCAGGAUGAAGACGGCUGUCCUCCCUGGAAAUGAUAAAAUUAGCCACAGGACUCAGAUUGCUUAAUCAACCAUCUGGAGUUUGUGCAGACUAACUUUCUCUUUUUAAAAAGUGUUUCUUUACUUUGCCAGACUAAUUAGCUUAGUACUUUGAGUGAACUUAACCAGGAGAUACCAACGACACGGUUUUCAGUGCUGAGCCUCAGUAGAGAGUCAAGAAGAUCUCAUUUGAGGGAGACUGCCAAGAAAGGAAGAGCUCUAAAUAGUUUCCUGAGAGUUGGAGACUGUUUCCACCCUUCCCCUUGAGAAACACAAAAGAGUUAUUGCAGCAAAUCGACUAGGAACUGCAGCAUCAUUUGUUUUUUGUGGUCCAGUGAUUUCAAGUCAAGUGAGCAGGGUAUUAAUCUGUUCUCUUCUCACCAGCUCUGUGACCUUGGACAAGUUAUUUGAAACCUGUCUCUAUACUUUACUAAUCUACAAAAUGGAGCCAAGCAAGCUUACCUCACGAGGACUGACUGAUGAUGAUAGCCAUGCUCCAGUGAGUGCCAGCUUAUGUUAGACACCAUGUAAAGUGCUUUACCCAAAUUUUCCCAUCUUCAAAACAGCUCUCCAGAGUAGGCUGUUAUAUCAUCAUUUGUAUAUAUUAGGACACUGAGACCCAUAGAAGUUUCUCUAGCUUUUGAAGUCAGACAGGUUUUGAACCCAGAUGUCUGUGGCCACAAAGGGAUGGUCUUGUGGAAUAUGACAGUGCUUUCCACUAGGUUUCAAAUAUUGCCUGUAAUCUACCUUUAUGGUUGAUGACAGUGUAAACCACUUAUGAGUUUCCUUCACCUGUUGGACUCUGUCCUUUGACCCACCUAUUUCUUUUUACAGCUCUAGUCUUUAAAGCCAAGUUGCCAAGUUAUCCUAUCAUUUGGUCCAGGCUUUUCAUACUUUCCAUGGUAGUAGUUAAGAGACUACUAGACUUUAGACUAAAGACUAUAGACUUUAGAAUUAGACUACAGACUUUAGACUAAAGACUAUAGACUUUAGAACUAGAAUGCCCAGGUUCAGAUUCCAGCUUCACAGCUCAUAGCUGUGUGGCCUUCAGCAAGUUACUUAACUUCAGUAUGUCUGUUUCCUCAUCGGUAAGAUGGAGAUAAUAGUACCCAUGUGAAGGUUGUUGGGAAAAAUUAAGUGAGUUGUUUUAAUCAAAGCACUUAGAACACUGCUUGGAACAUGGUAAGAGCUAUAUCUGUGUUGGUUAUAUAGUAGUCUGGGUUGUGAGGUCUCAGCAUGAUGUUCCCUCUCUAAACUCAUUCAAUGUAUGACAUAUAAUUAUGGUUUUCUUUCCUAACCUUCAGUUGUCAUCUUUAAACAUUUUAUUUUUGUGGUUUCAGGUACGGUGUUAGUUACCUAGGCAGACAGGUAACAGCUUGAUACCUUCUUUCCUUAAAUGUACAUUGCACUGUAACUUGGUCCAAUGUUCCUUAGACUCCUUUGGCAAAAGUGUUAAAAAGAUUCUUUUCAAGUCAUAUACGUUUGUGUCAUUUGUGUGCCACAUAAACUUGGGAACUGCAAUAACCUAUAAUAUCUGCUUGGGAAUUUAUAAUAAAUAUGAGCAAAUUUACUUCCCUGAGAAUUCCAAGAGAAAAUGAAUGAGUUUAAUUUUGUUUAAAAUAGUGCUUCCUAAAUUAUUUUCCCAAUUCACCCUUCUAUUUAUUAAGAAAAUACCCACACAGUGUUGACAAUACUUGUCUAGUGAGCUCUGACUUUUGUUAGUAAGAGAAUGCCUGAAGAAAGUCCUUAGGAAAACCUGUUUUAAAUAUUGACCCUAUAGGAUUUCUAUUUUUGUAGCAAACUAAAUUAUCAGAAGGCUAAUUGUUAGCUUACCUUGAUUCAGAGUAUUGCAGAAUCACCAACACCAUGUUGCAUUUUAAACUUAUGAGCUCUAUUUAUGCUGAAUAUAGAGAUAAGAAACAGUAAUUUGAAAUUCAUUUGAGAUAUUGUGCUCCAUCAUGUCGAGAACAUUGCCUUUGCUGUGGACUAAAGUCACUAUGGCUUGAAUAUGCCCCCCAAAGUUUAGGUAUUGGAUACUUAAUCCCCCAUGCAACACUGCUGGAACCUAUAAAAUGUGCUAGGUCACAAUGGCUCUGGUCUCAUCAGUGGAUUAAUUAUUGAUGAGAUAAAUUAUUAUGGGAGGAGCUUAGUUACCUUAGGGGUGGAUUCUUGAUUAAAAAAAUUGGGGAUAAGCAUAGCCCCUUUCUCUCUUGAUCUUGCUUGAGUGUUCCCUUGCCCUUCCACUGUUCAUUAUAUGAUGAUGCAGCAAGGAGGCUCUCACUAGCUGCGGCUUGGACUUCCCAGCCUCCAGAGCCACAAGUAAAGUACAUUUUUCUUCUUGAUAAAUUACUCACUUUCAGUUAUUCUGUUAUAGCAGCAGAAAAUAGACUAAGAUCUCUUUUACAUAUAAUCUUCUACACUGAAUUUUAUUUUAUAUGCUUGUUGGGGAUGAUUUUGUUUCCCUUGAAGAACCAAUAGAAAUAACAGUUUCCUCCUUUCCUUUCUGAUGAGAAUCUUUUUACAGCAGAUUCUAAGAAGCUCACAGAAAUAGUUGAAACCUCAGCAGGACAACUUUGUUGUUCUUAGAUUUGACAUUUUUAUAUUCUUCUUUUCUCUGGUCCUAGUUUUCUAUUUUUAUGUAAAUAUUUGAUGUCAGUUUCUUUUAUUAUAAGCCACCUCAAGAUCUUUGUGGAAAGAUGUAUGCAUAUAAUAAACAUAAAUAUAUUAAACAAGAACCACUUUAAAAGUGAAACACUGCUAUCAAAGCAAGCAAUUGCAAUGUAAGUUUCUGUGAGAGCUAAGUACAAACUCAGCAGCUCAGAAGAAUUCAGUGGUGUGAGUUGGGGAAAAAUGGAAGAUUCAGAGAGGAUCUAACAGGUGAGCUGCAUGCUGAAGGAUAAGACAAAGGGUUUCUUAUAAAGAGAAUUAUAUCUAUAUAGGCAGAGAAGCUGGAAAGUAUAUUUGCAGUAUAUUUAGGGAUUGGCUGGUAUUGUGGCAGAUCUGAAACACAGGGUUGUUGGGAGCAACAAAGCAGAACUAUUGAGUAGUAUUGAGUAGAGCUUUGUAUUGUGUAGUUCCUUCUUAUUUCCAGAGUGAUUAGAAACAUGCCCUCAGAGUCAUGGUGACUCUUGGGUACUAGAAGAGCUCUAUCUCCUCUAACCUUUGGUGGUGCUAUUUUGUCUGAUACCUUUUUGGUAAACUACCAUGACAGUGGUUUGUAAUCUCCAAGAUAGGGGUUAAAUUUUCAAAAGAGGUAUUAAUAGGAUGCAUUGGAGAGGAUGUACAUAUUAUAAAACAAUGAGUCAUAAGUGACCUGUGGCUGUAUGAAAUGUCCUGGGCAGAAAUUAUAUCAUAAUAGCAACUUUUGGGUUUAUUUUCAUCUGAUGCUGCUUUAUCUGACCUUAUACAUUGCCUUACCAUAACCCAUCAAAUAGAUUUUGUUUAUUAAAGGAAGUUAAUUGGCUGUGCCAUUCUGUGC
ensembl:lncRNA